AUAAACUAGAGGCUCUCAAGAGCCUGUAUCGCUCACCUGACUCUACUUGGGUUUUUGAAAUCAUAUAAAAAAAGAUAAAAUUUGGCUACAAAGUAACAACACUUGGCCACCACCUCAUUAGGAAAGGAACAUUUAUGCUAUGUAUGAUUUCAUUCAAUUCAGUGGUUCUCUAGAAGAAGACUUUUGUAUGCAUUUCCCAUAGUGUCCUAUGUUAAACAAAGUCACCCUACUGGCGGCCAUCUUGGAUGUUGGAUCGGCUACAAAGUAACAACACUUGUUCAACACCUCAUAAGGAACAUUCAUAUCAUGUUUGGUUUCAUUCGGAUCCAUUCAGUGGUUCUCUAAAAGAAGUCAUUUGUAUGAAUUUCCCAUAGUGUCCUAUGUUAAACUAAGUCCCCCGCUGGCGGCCAUAUUAGAUGAUGGAUCGGCUACAAAGUUACAACACUUGGUC
rnacentral:lncRNA from 1 species